rnacentral:rRNA from 1 species
UACGAAGGGGGGCUAGCGUUGCUCGGAAUUACUGGGCGUAAAGGGAGCGUAGGCGGACAUUUAAGUCAGAGGUGAAAUCCCGGAGCUCAACUUCGGAACUGCCUUUGAUACUGGGUGUCUUGAGUAUGAUAGAGGUAUGUGGAACUCCGGGAGUAGCGGUGAAAUGCGUAGAGACCCGGAGGAACACCAGUGGCGAAGGCGGCGUCCUGGCCUGCGACUGACGCUGGUGGCGCGAAAGCUAGGGGGAGCGAACGGG